rnacentral:rRNA from 1 species
GACGAACGCUGGCGGCGUGCCUAAUACAUGCCAGUCGAACGGUAAAGCCCUGUUCUUGCAGCGUGCUCGAGAGGCGAACACGUGUGUAUCACGCGUGUAACCUGUCCCUUACAUCGGGAUACCACCAGGAAACUGGGAUUCUAAUCGCACAGAACCACCUUCUGCAUGGUGGGGAAUGGAGAGUUUUGGCGGUUGGGGAUGGACUGGCGGUUCAUCAGCGUGUUGGUGGGGUAGUGGGUUACCAGGGCUCUGACGGGUUGCCGGCCUGAGAGGGUGACCGGCCACAAUGGGACUGAGGUACGGCCCAGAGUGCUACGUGAGGCAGCAGUGAGAAAUAUAGCACAAUGGGCGGAAGGCUGAUGGAGCAACGCCGCGUGCGGGAUGACGGCCGGCGGGUUGGAAACCGCGUGAGCCUGUGAAGAAGCGUGAGUGACGGUAAUGGGUAAAGAAGCACCGGCUAACUACGUG